ACAUACAUUUCCUUCAACUUUUUUUAAAUUAAUGUGACAUAUAAUACGGCUUAACCAAGAUGUCUAAAGAGGGCAACGAAAAUGCAUGCAGCUCAAAUCAGCAUAAUAAUAACAUAAGUAGUGAAGCCGUUAUAAUUAAUGAACUGAAUCAUUAUGAUGAACAAGACAGAACGGAUGAAAUGUCAACAAGGCAAAGAGAAAUGGAAGAAUUUAGAGAAGUGCUUGAAGAUGGGCUUGAUGAAAUUUUAUUGCAAGCACUACUUGAAUUUGAAAAUCAG